AUGCAAGCAAGCACCCUAUUGGAAGGUACUCUUAAUGAAAUGAACACCGGCUGGAUGGUUCUCUUUUUGGAUGUGGGCUCAGACAUUAGGAGCAGGCAGUAUCUUUUCUUUUUCUUUUUCUUUCUUUCUUUUUUUUUUUUUGACAGGAUGGGCUGGGGUUGGGGGAGGAGGAAGCAAGAAUCAAGCAGAGAAGGCGAGCUCCUUUCUGUUCAUCUAACUCAAACAACCCUGGUUACCAUCUGGUCGGCUGGACCAUGA
rnacentral:lncRNA from 1 species